UAGGGAAUCUUCGGCAAUGGACGAAAGUCUGACCGAGCAACGCCGCGUGAGUGAAGAAGGUUUUCGGAUCGUAAAACUCUGUUGUUAGAGAAGAACAAGGACGUUAGUAACUGAACGUCCCCUGACGGUAUCUAACCAGAAAGCCACGGCUAACUACGUGCCAGCAGCCGCGGUAAUACGUAGGUGGCAAGCGUUGUCCGGAUUUAUUGGGCGUAAAGCGAGCGCAGGCGGUUUCUUAAGUCUGAUGUGAAAGCCCCCGGCUCAACCGGGGAGGGUCAUUGGAAACUGGGAGACUUGAGUGCAGAAGAGGGGAGUGGAAUUCCAUGUGUAGCGGUGAAAUGCGUAGAUAUAUGGAGGAACACCAGUGGCGAAGGCGGCUCGCUGGUCUGUAACUGACGCUGGGGCUCGAAAGCGUGGGGAGCAAACAGG
rnacentral:rRNA from 1 species